rnacentral:lncRNA from 1 species
CAGCUCCCUUGGUAGGGGCAUGCAGAAGACCUGAUGACACAAACCCUCCAAAGAGUUUCACCCUCACCACAACAGGUGGCUUCCUGCUCGGCAGCCCAUCCUGCAUCACUUCAGUGGACUUCUCUGACAUCUACUAGACCACAUUAAAUGAAUCACAGCCUUGAAACUGAACUGGAAGGACUUCCUUCAAGGAGCCAGCAUAUGAACUUGCUGCCUAUCUUUAGCAAGGAGAUGCAAAUGACAUCCACAAACCUCUUCUGCUGUAUACCUGGAUGAAAGCAAGGCUAGCUGUGUGUCCUAUGGCACCAAGGACUGAAAGAUUGUAAGAAGUAAGAGGGAAAGUGAUCCAAAAAGGUGGAACACCUAAUGUACAGCCCCAAGGAAGGAGCAUACUUGGAGAAUUCAAGGAACAGAAAGAAAAACAGGAAGGCUGGAGUGAAACUGAUUAAAUAAAGCAUCGUAACAUUAGAGGUCCAUCAUAGAGGCCAAGCCAAAUACAACUAUGUUUUCAAGCAUAAGAUGGAUAGAUGUGGUAAACCACAAGAAGCAAACAGCCCUUUAGAGGUGUGGAUUGACCUUGCAGAGUUACAAGUGGAGCCAGGAGAAAUCAUGUUGAGUGGGACUUCUCAUCCUACCUAAGAGAGACUAACAGAUGGAAAGCUGGGUACAGAAGGGAGAGAAGGCAGUAACAGUCAGAUUUCAAUACGCUGAGACUGUGACGUGGGACUUUUGAGUGAGUAACAUCUGCUCCUAGAACUGAGUUGAGUGGGGAUCCUCCCACACCACCCAGGCAAGAGAACUAACAAUUGAUGACUGCUCCAAAUCAGUCGCCAGUCUACCUAAUACUUCUACCUGACAAGGUCUUGCUCUGUUGCCUGGCCUGAAGUGCAGUGGCAUGAUCAUGGCUCACUGCAGCCUCAACCUCCCAGGCACAAGUGAUCCUCCCACCUCAACUUCCAGAAUAUAGAAGCUGGAACUACAGUGACCUACAUCCAAAGUGAAAAGUUAUUCAGCCUCUGAAGAGAAGCAUUUUGUUUGGGGAUCUUCAAGUAUGCUUGUCAGCACCGAGAACUGGAAAAAAAUCUCUGAUUGUCCUGCAGCAAUGGCAUUAAAGGCUCCUCAUAACAUACAGAACCAGAAUUGUGCCAUAAUUUACUGAAAUUGAACAUUGCUCUGUGACUGCUAAUUUUCCAUCGAGAUGAUUCUGUCUCUAACCAAGAAAAGAAAAGUUUGUCUUCCUGACUGCUGACACUGCUGACCAAGCCCACCACCAGAUGCCUGGCUGCACACCCAGAGGGCAGCCGCUUCCCGUGGUCCUCUCGAAGAACUUCCCUUUUGCAAUGCAUGUUUAGCAAGUGGAUGAGUUUGUCUUUUCUGAUUUCUCUGCAAGCUCUGCAUUGCCCACCUGAACCAGUGCUUCAGAAGAACUAAUGGGAUCUCUGACCCUCCAACAUCCUCUUCCAGACUUUCACUUUCCUGGCUCCUUGCAGGGACAUGUAAUAAACGUGCUCUCCAGAGAAA